AAUGAGAGUAGCGCACUGGUGAGUAACACGUGGGAACAUACCUUUUUGGUGGGGGGACAACAGUUGGAAACGACUGCUAAUACCGCAUAAGCCCUAAGGGGGAAAGAUUUAUUGCCGAAAGAUUGGCCGCGGAAGAUUAGGUAGUUGGUGGGGUAAAGGCCUACCAAGCCGACGAUCUAUAGCUGGUCUGAGAGGACGAACAGCCACAUUGGAACUGAGACACGGUCCAGACUCCUACGGGAGGCAGCAGUGAGGAAUAUUGGGCAAAAGUGGGGGAAACCCUGACCCAGCAACGCCGCGUGAAGGAAGAAGGCUUUCGGGUUGUAAACUUCUUUUACCAGGGACGAAGGACGUGACGGUACCUGGAGAAAAAGCCACGGCUAACUACGUGCCAGCCGCAGC
rnacentral:rRNA from 1 species